GACGAACCGUGCGAACGUUGUUCGGAAUCACUGGGCUUAAAGGGCGCGUAGGCGGGCGGUCAAGUCCGGGGUGAAAUCUUUCGGCUCAACCGGAAAAGUGCCUUGGAUACUGACUGUCUUGAGGGAGGUAGGGGUAUGUGGAACUUCCGGUGGAGCGGUGAAAUGCGUUGAUAUCGGAAGGAACGCCGGUGGCGAAAGCGACGUACUGGACCUCUUCUGACGCUGAGGCGCGAAAGCUAGGGUAGCGAACGG
rnacentral:rRNA from 1 species